rnacentral:rRNA from 1 species
UACGUAGGGGGCAAGCGUUGUCCGGAUUUAUUGGGCGUAAAGAGCGUGUAGGCGGCCAUACAGGUCAGCUGUGAAAACUCGAGGCUCAACCUCGAAACGUCGGUUGAAACCGUAUGGCUAGAGUCCGGAAGAGGAGAGUGGAAUUCCCGGUGUAGCGGUGAAAUGCGCAGAUAUCGGGAAGAACACCCGUGGCGAAGGCGGCUCUCUGGGACGGUACUGACGCUGAGACGCGAAAGCGUGGGGAGCGAACAGG